rnacentral:rRNA from 1 species
CCUACGGGUGGCAGCAGUGAGGAAUAUUGGUCAAUGGGCGGAAGCCUGAACCAGCCAAGUAGCGUGCAGGAUGACGGCCCUACGGGUUGUAAACUGCUUUUAUACGGGAAUAACGCGCCUUAUGUAUAGGGCUUUGCAUGUACCUUAUGAAUAAGGAUCGGCUAAUUCCGUGCCAGCAGCCGCGGUAAUACGGAGGGUCCGGGCGUUAUCCGGAUUUAUUGGGUUUAAAGGGAGCGUAGGCCGUAUGUCAAGUGUGCUGUGAAAUUUCCGGGCUCAACCCGGGCCUUGCAGCGGAUACUGGCGUGCUUGAGUCCGCUGAAGGCAGGCGGAAUUCAUGGUGUAGCGGUGAAAUGCUUAGAUAUGACGAAGAACCCCGAUUGCGAAGGCAGCUUGCUGCAGCGGAACUGACGCUGAUGCUCGAAAGCGCGGGUAUCGAACAGGAUUAGAUACCCUUGUAGUC